rnacentral:lncRNA from 1 species
CUUCGUUUCUCUCUUUCCAGGUUAUCUCUCCUGCUCUGUGAAGUCUGUCUGUCCUUGGAUCAGAACAAUGUAAGGAUUGUGGAUAUAAUUUCCCUGCACGCCGACAUUCGGCCUUACUGAUGAGACUUCAGAGAACUGCCUCCAGCUUCCACUCUGCUGGCAUGUGAGGACACAGCCUUUGGUCCCCUCGUCAAGUGAGAGAGAACACGGCGUCUGUCCUCUCCACAGGGCACAGCAGCAACAAGGCGCCAUCUUGGAAGCAGAGAGCAGCCCUCACCAGACACCAAGUUUACUGGCCCUUGAUCUUGGACUUCUCAGCCUCCAGAACUGGGAGAAAUAAAUUCCCAUUGUUUAUAAAUUACCCAGUACAUGGAAUUUUGUUACAGCUGCAGGAAUGGACUCUUUCCCUUCCUUUAGCUCUUUGAAUAUUUAAAGUGUGUCUAGUUUACAGUUUCAUUCAGAUUAUUCUAUUAACUUUAGUUCCUGGGGUACAAAUAUUCCCAUUCUGGGGCAAUGGACCCUUUGGUCUAUUUUAGUUGACACUGGGCUCAGCUGUAGCUACUUCUCAUCCGUGAGCAUGGUUUUCAGCCUUCUGUCUCCACACUCUGAGCAUAGAAGUGUGACUUUGGGCCUCACACCUGCACACAGCACAGGCUGAGCUUCUUCUCACUUCACAGCCUUUUAAAGGAUUUCUUCUUCCAGGCUAUGACCUGUGGCCAAAACACAGAUCUUUCUGCUCCCUCCCUGCUCACGCUUGGAAACUUCCAAACUCUCCUCUCCUAGAUUCAAACAAGAAGAGAAAUUCCGGAUUCUUUCUUCUCAUGGUCAUUUGAACCCCUCCUACUGUGAGAACUCCAGCCCACCUGCACACCCUCUUUGGAGCACACCACUGAGACUCCUGUUCACUGCUCCAACUGAGAGCUUCCUCUUGAUUUCUGGGAACUGGUUUCCCUUUCUUGCUUUUUUGUCUUGGCUCAAUUUUUAAAUUUAAAGAACAGGUGCAGUGGCUCACACCUGUAAUCCCAGCACUUUGGGAAGCCAAGACAGAAGGAUCCUUUGAAGCCAGGAGUUUGAAACAAGCCCGGACAACACAGCAAGACUCCAUUUCUACAAAAAAAAAAAAAAAUAAUUAUCUGGGUGUGGUGGCAUGCACCUGUAGACCCAGCUACUCAGGCUGCUAAGCUGAGAGAAUCACUUUAGCCCAGAAUUGGAGGCUGCAGUGAGUUAUGAUGGCACCACUGCACUCCAGCCUGUGUGACAGAACAAGACCAUCUCAAAAUAAAUAAAUUUAGAUCAGCAGUUUUAAGUGUUUGGAGAAGACUGGACAAAUCUCAUGACUGUUGGAUCCUUUGUAAUGACUAUAAAUCUACUUAAUUUUUGUGGAUUCAAAAGUGCUGUAACAUCCAUUUGGGCUAGGCCUCCUCCAUCUCUUCCUUAUCUUCACUUCCCAUUCUUUCCUUUCUUAUCUUUCUUUUCCUUUCCUUAUUUGUUGAAGCCAUUUUCACAUGACUUCCAAAUGCACUUAUUUUUGUGAAGUUAGAGAAAUCCUAUACGAAUUUUAAUUUGAAUUAAGUAAUUUAUAUGUUUGUAAUAUUUAGUCUUCUUAUCUAGAAACAUGCUGUAGGAAAUUGUGUUUCCUGUCCACUCCUCUUUAUCUUCUCUUAUCCUUCCUUAUUUUGUGAAGUUAAAAUCCUGUAGGAAUUUUAAUUUGAAUUAAGGAAUUUGUAUGUUUGUAAUAUUUAGUCUUAUCUAAAAACAUGGUGUAAUAAAUUUUGUUUCCUGUUCACU